UACAGAGGGUGCAAGCGUUAAUCGGAUUUACUGGGCGUAAAGCGUGCGUAGGCGGUUCAGUGUGUCGGUUGUGAAAUCCCCGGGCUUAACCUGGGAACUGCAUCCGAAACUGCUGGACUAGAGUGUGGUAGAGGGCGGUGGAAUUCCAGGUGUAGCGGUGAAAUGCGUAGAUAUCUGGAGGAACACCGAUGGCGAAGGCAGCCGCCUGGGCCACAACUGACGCUGAGGUACGAAAGCGUGGGGAGCAAACAGG
rnacentral:rRNA from 1 species